AACGAACGCUGGCGGCGUGCUUAACACAUGCAAGUCGAACGCGAAAGGGACUUCGGUCCUGAGUAAAGUGGCGCACGGGUGAGUAACGCGUGGAUAAUCUACCCAAUGAUCUGGGAUAACAUCUCGAAAGGGGUGCUAAUACCGGAUAAGACCACGGAGUCUCUGGACUCCGCGGUAAAAGGUGGGGACCUUCGGGCCUACCGUCAUCGGAUGAGUCCGCGUACCAUUAGCUAGUUGGUGGGGUAAUGGCCCACCAAGGCAACGAUGGUUAGCUGGUCUGGGAGGAUGAUCAGCCACACUGGAACUGGGACACGGUCCAGACUCCUACGGGAGGCAGCAGUGGGGAAUUUUGCGCAAUGGGGGAAACCCUGACGCAGCAACGCCGCGUGAGUGAUGAAGGCUUUCGGGUCGUAAAGCUCUGUCAGAAGGGAAGAAAUGUGGGUGGCUAAUAUCCAUACCACUUGACGGUACCUUCAAAGGAAGCACCGGCUAACUCCGUGCCAGCCGCCGCGGUAA
rnacentral:rRNA from 1 species